GCAAUUCUAUAUAUGCUCACUAAGAUGCCCCAAGAUGUAUUAAGUUAAAAAUAAACAAAUUUUGUAAAUAAAAGCAGCCAGACACAAGAAAAUACAUAUGGUAUGGUUCUAUUUACUUAAACUCUAAGACUUCCUUAGGACAUUUACACAUUGGACACCAUGUUUCUUUAACCUUUUAAGAUACAGUCAGUGAUAAUUUUAAGAAUGUUCUGGGGAUUUGCAAUAGGAUUGAAAGUAGAUAGGAGUUAGGGGACUUUAAUGUUCUAU
rnacentral:lncRNA from 1 species